rnacentral:rRNA from 1 species
GACGUAGGGGGCCAGCGUUGUUCGGAAUUACUGGGUGUAAAGGGUUCGUAGGCGGUGCGGCAAGUCGGGAGUGAAAUCUCUGGGCUUAACCCAGAGGCUGCUUCCGAAACUGCAGAGCUUGAGUGCCGGAGAGGGUGGCGGAAUUCCCCAAGUAGAGGUGAAAUUCGUAGAUAUGGGGAGGAACACCGGUGGCGAAGGCGGCCACCUGGACGGUAACUGACGCUGAGACGCGAAAGCGUGGGGAGCAAACAGG